CCCUUAGACGUUCUGGGCCGCACGCGCGCUACACUGACCAGUGCAACAAGCAUCCGUCCUUGGCCGACAGGCUCGGGCAAUCUUUGAACGCUGGUCGUGAUGGGGAUAGACUUUUGCAAUUUUUGGUCUUCAACGAGGAAUUCCUAGUAAACGCAAGUCAUCAACUUGCAUUGAUUACGUCCCUGCCCUUUGUACACACCGCCCGUCGAACCUACCGAUUGAAUGGUCCGGUGAAGCCUCCGGAUUGGCGCGCACCUCGGUGCCGCCGAGAAGUUGGCUAAACCUUACCAUUUAGAGGAAGGUGAANUCGUAACA
rnacentral:rRNA from 1 species